rnacentral:rRNA from 1 species
GACGAACGCUGGCGGCGUGCUUAACACAUGCAAGUCGAACGGAAAGGCCCUGCUUUUGUGGGGUGCUCGAUUGGCGAACGGGUGAGUAACACGUGAGUAACCUGCCCUUGUCUUUCGGAUAACUUCACGAAACUCGGGCUAAUACCGGAUAGAAGCUCUUGCUGCACGGUGUGGGUUGGAAAGUUUCGGCGGUUGGAGAUGGACUCGCGGCUUAUCAGCUUGUUUGUCGGGUAGUGGCUUACCAAGCCUGUGACGGAUAGCCGGCCUGAGAGGGUGAACGGGCACAUUGGGACUGCGAUAGGCAGCAGUAGGGUACGGGAGGCAGCAGUGGGGAGUAUGGCGCAAUGGGCGGAAGCCUGAUACAGCGACGCCGCGUGCGUGAUGACGGGCUACGGGGUGUGAACCGAUGUGGAAUGUGACGAAGAGUGAGUGACGGUAAUGAGUAAGAAAGCAACGGCUAACUACGUG